UUAUGGUUUUAAAAAUUUAUUUUAAAUUUAUUUUACAUAUAAAUUUUAGUGUUAAAUAUUAAUUAUUUUAAUAAUAAUUUUUUUUUUAUGUAGUAAUUAAUUUUAAAAAUUUAAGAAAUUAAGAUUUAGUAAUAUUUAAAUUAAUAACUAAUUUUGUGCCAGCAGUUGCGGUUAUACAAAAAUUAAUUUAAAUUUUUUUAGUUAUAAUAAUUAAUUUAUUUAAAUAAUUUAAAUUUUAAUUUAUUAAGUGAAAUUUUAAUUUAAUAAAAAAUUAUUUAAUAAUUAUGAUUUAAUAAAUUUUAUAAAAAACUAGGAUUAGAUACCCUAUUAUUAAAAAUUUAAAUUUUAAAGAACUAAAAUAGUAAGUAAUUUUUAUUGAAACUUAAAUAAUUUGGCGGUAUUUUAGUUUAUUUAGAGGAAUCUGUUUAAUAAUUGAUAAUCCACGAAUAAAUUUACUUAAUUUAAUAUUUUGUAUAUCGUUGUUAAAAAAAUAUUUUAAAAUAAUAAUAAUAUUUAAAAAUUUUAAAAAAAAAUUAAAUCAGAUCAAGAUGCAGAUUAUAAUUAAGAAUAUAAUGGAUUACAAUAAAUUUAUUUAAUUUGGAUUUUAAUAUGAAAAGAUUAAAUGAAAUUGGAUUUAAAUGUAAUUUUAUUUAAAUUAAUAAAAUGAUUAUUAAUUAAAAUAUGUACAUAUUGCCCGUCGCUUUCAUUUAUAAAUUGGAAUAAGUCGUAACAAAGUAGAGGUACUGGAAAGUGUUUCUAGAAAGAU
rnacentral:ncRNA from 1 species